AAUGAAUCAAGGCAUUUCUUGAAAUUCAAUGGCUUUUUUUUUCAUUUGGGAAUGUUCAAAUGUAUGUUAAUAAUCUUCCUGUUCACCCCACUCAACAACUGGCUCGUCAUUCAUACGCAAAAUGAGGUAAGAAAGAAGCUGAAAAAGAUUCUGCCAGAAUAAGAGAGAGACAUAAAAGGAGAGGCUGCUUACGUCCACCUCGCAGCGCUCGCCAGCAAAGGCAACAUCACAGAGGCACUGGAAUUUGUUGACAGGUCACAGAUUGCCUGAAGCCAUUGACCAACUCCAUUUUAAGAAUUCCUGUAUGAGGUGAAGAACAGUUGAAGAGUUUCUCUGGGAAAAGUAGACUCAUAUGGAUAAGAGCUGAACUCCAGUUGCCCUGCCAAGACUUGCUGCUCCCUAUGUAAUAAUUCAUAGCUUCGAAGAAUGCAAGCCAAAUGCUGUCCAGGAGCUUUGUAUAUAGCACACGAUGGUAACUGCAUGUGAAUUCAGAGUGUGGCUCUCUGAUAUGGCAACAAAGCUUUACAUGUUAAAGAAUCCUCAUAAAAGGCGGAACAAGUAUUAGAAGCUAAGCGGAACUUCACUGUAAGACAAAAUCUAGUAAUGUGAAGGGACUGAUAUUUAAAGAGUUUAAUAGUGUUGCUUAGGCCCUUUGACCCACUGUGUAUGUGCAUGGUAUCAGAUAACUAAUAAAUAUUCAGGAAGUGUAAAAUGAAUUGAAUUUUGUUCUGUUGUGUGUGCUGCAGCUAAUGUGGAUAGACUAGCUUAUAUGAUGCUAAGUGUGUCUCUUCCCGCAAGAGCUAAUCAAUUCUACUUUAAAAAGAAGGAUAUCAUAAAGACUUUUCAAAAGAGCCAAAAAUGUCAACCAGCUUUGAAAGAGGUCAAUUAGCAAUGCAAAUAUGAAGCUUUGUAUACAUCUUGGUUUUAAUAAACAAUUCCUGAAUCUCAUUAGAAGGUAUUUUUGAGGGCUUUCAUCUUUCAGAACUUGACUUUAAUGAAUUAGGCAGAAAAAAAUUCUGGAGAAGUAGUUACUAGGGCCUAUGUGUUUAUUUUACUUAUCAAAAUUCACAGUGAAAUAUACUAAAUUUGAUCCUGAAUUCUUCUUGCUUUUAAACAGGCAGGUUACCUGUUGGGAACACUUAGCACCUACAACAGUGCCUUGCUUUCACAGGCUCAGAACAGUAACUGUUAAGGAGAGAUGUACAACUUCUUAUAGGUAUGCCUACAUGUUAUGUUUGCUAGGAGAUUCAUGCAAUUAAGGUACCACCUCUGAAUUAGUGUAAUGUCUACAGGCUGCCAACCCAUUCCAGGUGUUCUUGCCGAAGUUCUGGAAUGUAUUACUUGUUAAUAAUAACCCUCUCACCUCCCCAUAAUGACUCAAUUAUUUAGUAAAUUUAAAGCGGUGUAAGUUGUAAAAACAAUAAUAACUUCUUACAUGG
rnacentral:lncRNA from 1 species